GUGGGUCCCUUCCAGCUCAGGAUAUUCUGUGACUCAUCUUGUCUGUUUGGGGAAAAAUAGAAGUGGUAAGUGAAGACAAAAAUGACCUUUUUUUUCCCUCCUAGAGAUCAUAAUUCUAUUAUGUGAACUCUUGGACAAUAAAAUUUAGAUUAAAAUGUCCUUCCCUGAAGCAGAAACCCAGCUUACCCUGUUAAAACCAGCAGAUUCUGAUGCCCCCACUGCUGCCUACCUGCUUGGAUCUUCCAGGUUCCCUGUGCUCCGUGUGUCACUCCCACCAUUCCAUUCCCUGCCUGCCGAGUGCUGGAUGAGGAUCUGGAGCCAACUGGAGCUUAAUGGGAUCUGCACCAUUUUUAAAGCAGGGGCCAGAGGAGGUUGUGCCUUUGGUUUCCAGGGGAUUGCAGCUUCUCCCGUGGAUGUGGAUCCUGUGAUGCUCAUGG